rnacentral:rRNA from 1 species
AGCGAACGCUGGCGGCAGGCCUAACACAUGCAAGUCGAACGGAUCCUUCGGGAUUAGUGGCGGACGGGUGAGUAACACGUGGGAACGUGCCCUUUGGUUCGGAACAACUCGGGGAAACUUGAGCUAAUACCGGAUGUGCCCUUCGGGGGAAAGAUUUAUCGCCAUUGGAGCGGCCCGCGUCUGAUUAGCUAGUUGGUGAGGUAACGGCCCACCAAGGCGACGAUCAGUAGCUGGUCUGAGAGGAUGAUCAGCCACACUGGGACUGAGACACGGCCCAGACUCCUACGGGAGGCAGCAGUGGGGAAUCUUGCGCAAUGGGCGAAAGCCUGACGCAGCCAUGCCGCGUGAAUGAUGAAGGUCUUAGGAUUGUAAAAUUCUUUCAGCGGGGACGAUAAUGACGGUACCCGCAGAAGAAGCUCCGGCUAACUUCGU